GAUGAAGAACGUAGCGAAAUGCGAUACGUAAUGUGAAUUGCAGAAUUCAGUGAAUCAUCGAGUCUUUGAACGCACAUUGCGCCCUCUGGUAUUCCGGGGGGCAUGCCUGUUCGAGCGUCAUUAUAACCACUCAAGCUCUCGCUUGGUAUUGGGGUUCGCGGUUCCGCGGCCCCUAAAAUCAGUGGCGGUGCCUGUCGGCUCUACGCGUAGUAAUACUCCUCGCGAUUGAGUCCGGUAGGUCUACUUGCCAGCAACCCCCAAUUUUUACAGGUUGACCUCGGAUCAGGUAGGGAUACCCGCUGAACUUAAGCAUAUCAAUAAGCGGAGGA
rnacentral:misc_RNA from 1 species